GCCAGUUUGGCUCAAUGGAUAGAGCAUCAGUCUGCAAACUGAAAGGUCCCAGGUUCGACUCCGGUCAAGGGCA
rfam:Myotis lucifugus cont2.30652, whole genome shotgun sequence.